CAGUCGCCGCGGGAAUACGAAGGGGGCUAGCGUUGUUCGGAAUCACUGGGCGUAAAGCGCACGUAGGCGGAUUUUUAAGUCAGGGGUGAAAUCCCGAGGCUCAACCUCGGAACUGCCUUUGAUACUGGAGAUCUUGAGUUCGGAAGAGGUUGGUGGAACAGCUAGUGUAGAGGUGAAAUUCGUAGAUAUUAGCUAGAACACCAGUGGCGAAGGCGGCCAACUGAUUCGACACUGACGCUGAGGUGCGAAAGCGUGGGGAGCAAACAGGAUUAGAUACCCCUGUAGUCCCUGUCUCUUAUAC
rnacentral:rRNA from 1 species